GCCAGGUGUGGUGGUGCACGCCUGUAGUCCUAGCUACUCAGGAGGUUGAGGUGGGAGAAUUGCUUGAGCCCAGGAGUUCAAGACUGCAGUGAGCCAAGAUUGUGCCACUGCACUCCAGCCUGGGUGACAGAGUGAGACCCUGUCUCAA
ensembl:misc_RNA Metazoa_SRP Metazoan signal recognition particle RNA